CACAAGAGAGCUUGCUCUCUGGGUGACGAGCGGCGGACGGGUGAGUAAUGUCUGGGAAACUGCCUGAUGGCGGGGGAUAACUAGUGGAAACGGUAGCUAAUACCGCAUAACGUCGCAAGACCAAAGUGGGGGACCUUCGGGCCUCACGCCAUCAGAUGUGCCCAGGUGGGAUUAGCUGGUAGGUGGGGUAACGGCUCACCUAGGCGACGAUCCCUAGCUGGUCUGAGAGGAUGACCAGCCACACUGGAACUGAGACACGGUCCAGACUCCUACGGGAGGCAGCAGUGGGGAAUAUUGCAC
rnacentral:rRNA from 1 species